CUGUGUAAUCUGUGAGAAAAGCGCUUCUGCUAAUGAGCUCUCCUCACCUCUCUCCUUCAGAAGCCCCCGGGGCUCUGUGUGGCUGCCUGCCCACCUGCAGCAGAGCGGAGCUGUGCGUGUGAAUGAGGCAGGUACCACCGCACCCAUAAGAAUCAGCCUUUGUAGACGUGUACUCAGAAGUACAGAACAUAUUUUCUAUAUUAUGGAUACAUCAUAUUUAAAUACAUAAUAUAAAACAACAAAUAUGAGGAGGAAAUGCCACAAAUUAGAUCAGAAUGGAAUACAGCCACUGAUGCCAAAACAGCAAGGAAAAGAUCGUUGUGGUCACUCACAGAAAUGUUUCUUUCCACCGCUCUACAUGAAAGAAAUGUGAGGCCAUGCAGUUCUUCACUCGGCGCAAAUGAGAAUCAGGUCAAGAGACCUCAAAAUACAAACAGAUAAGAACAGCCCGUUGUGCUUUAUCUACCCAAGGAAGCUGCAAAAGAAAGUUCUCAAAGAGAGGAGCAUCACUCCCAGGUCACUAUUAGCCCCAAACUGAAGGCACUGAGUACAUUCACUAGCUGGUGCUUUGGUGGGCAGCCCACUGCAGACUGCCAAAGAUGGGAGUAUUCUGCACUUUCCAGAACUGCGCCGUCCCUGGAUCAGUCCUUAUACCUUUUUUUUUUCUCAAGGAUCACAAGUGAUACAGAUGAACACAGCAAUCAUUGCGAGAAGUCCGUGGGAGCAGAGCUUUAAAGGCAGUCAGGUAGAAGACCACAAUCACUUGCUUCUGCUUCAUUUACCUUAGCCAUGAGUGGGAAUGCUUUCCCCUGGAUUCCUGAAGGGCAUCGACCCAAACAGGCAUCCAGAACGCCUCCGGGAGGUUAAGGCACAGAAUGAUGUGAGACUUGGUCAGUUAAAUAGUGCCCUCACUUGUCUUCCUUCUGCAGCAACUCUGCAAGGCUCACCAACGGCAGCUAUUUCAGCAAGGGAGAAUGGCCAUGGAGCCUGCAUGACCCGUGUGGACUGCAUACAGAUGCCUGCAGGAGUUGAACCAUAUCCUCAGCUAACAAGUAUUUUUCCAGUUGUAUUUCAUACACCACCAGCAGAUUUUGGCCUAUAAGUAAAACAUGGGGAGGACAAUUCCUGGACACAAGUGAAACCCUGUCUGCAACUGCUGGAGCUCAGGCCCCAGAUUGACCCCUGAAUUACGAGGGCAUCAAAUAAAGGAAAAUACCUCCUGUUGCCCCAUGGCAGCUCCAAGACAUGCAGGGAGCCCAGGAAAGGGCUGCAGAAAGACAGAGAGCACAGGGAUGGAGCAGGCAUGCAAUCAAACACGCAGGGGCUCUGCAAGCAGGGUGGGAGAUCCUUAGCACGCGCUAAGCCCCAGGGACAGGCUGCUGUGGCUAUCUAAAUUAGGUCCCUGGAAGAGGGCAGGGAAGGAAAGAUGCAGCAGGAGAUUAAGACCACCCUGACCUCCAGCCAGCUCCCACGGCUCUGCGUUCUGCCCUGAGAAGGAAGCGGAAAAAUGUCUUUGUAAUCUGAAGCAUUGCAGUUAAACAUGAAUCACAGUGCCGCACGCAGGAAAAGCUUUCCAAUAAACAUUACAACUUACUUUGCAAAUCUUCAGGCUGAAGUAAGUCCAGCCCUUUGUCAAAGCCCUUUCUGUAGAUUUCUUCAGGUUUUUGGCUUUUUCUCCUAAAGUAAUAUCAUACUUCAUGGAUUUUUCGGCUACAUUUACCCUAUUAAUAUACAGUACUAUAAUCAGAGCUUUGGUACUCCUCACCUGCAAGGAUGGAAUUAUAAUGAGUGUGUAAUGAGCUGCUCCACAGCCACUAGUUCCCAUGCUUCAGCAACUCCAAACUCUUUGGUAUAGAUCGGUGGAGUCCUGCUGAUUUACACAGCUAUUGUCUUUGGGAAUAAAUAAAAGUCAUAUUAAUAUUCACAGUGUCAUUUACUCAGAUGUUAGUUGGAAGGAUUGCGAAAUAAACUACAAAGGCAAACACAAAAG
rnacentral:lncRNA from 1 species